rnacentral:lncRNA from 1 species
AGCACAUUUUGAGCUUUAGGAUCUGGAGGGAAACCACUGGAGAGCAGGAAUCGAAUGGAAAGGUUGUGAGGCCGAUUAAAGCAAUGUCUGCUGCCCGCUGUGGGCCGGAACAUGCGAUAAAGAAGAAACAGGUUCAUUGACAAAAGCUGGUCAUGGCGACUGGCCACGUGUAUGCCACCAGGAAACAGGACAUCAGUGGGUGUGACUCACCUCCUGCCUCAGCCUCAACCUGUGAUGAUAAUGAGCUUGUGGAGAGAGAGAGAGCCCCCCAGUACGUAGUUGUAUAUUCUAGUUGUGGGUCCUGCUGGUUCUACUGUGUGGGAUGCUGCCUCAGCAUGGCGUCAUGAGUGGUCCCAUGUCCACACCCAGGACCGGAACCAGUGAAACCCUGGGCCGUGAAGCGAACCCACGAACUCAACCACUCGACCACGGGGCCUGCCCCUUCUUCGAAUUUUAAUAAUUUCCCAACCACCCUAUUUAGUUGGAGUCCAGGUCCUGGCCCCUCCUGAGUAGCCCCCAGCACUACAGUCCCCUGUAGUGAGAGGAACUCACUUAGUUUCUGCCCAGCCCCUCAACCAACCUUCCUAGCUGCAUCUUUGCCCUCCCCUUCUCCUCCCCCACCUCAGAUGGAGGGGAUGUCAGAGAAGUUUCACAACUUCUCUAGUCAGUGUGGCUGCCUUCCCAGCACUGCCAGAGCCCCUGGUGGAAAAGAGGCCUUGACAAAGAUUCGUCGAAUGAAGGAAUGCAGGAUAAUGAAGGGGCAUGAGUGUGGCUUAGGGGUCGGAAAACUUGGGUUUGAUCUCGACUUUAUCAUUUCCUCCUAGACAAGUUUGGGCAAGUCACUUACCUCCUCUGGUUCCGGUGUCCACUUAGCCCCCAUGGUGCUUGUAAGGGUCCAAUGAAAUCACUAAGUAAUAAUCAACAAAUAUCAAUUGUUAACAGGACGCUAAAGCAAUGGUGUUAAAAAUGACAUAGAAUGGUGUUUUAAAGCUAAGAAACUUUCAGAAAUUAUUUACCAUGGUCAUAUGCAUUAUAUCAGUGUUUUCCAACCUUUCUUGAAGGUAAGAAUUACCUGGAGCUCUUCUUAGAAAAACAGAUUCCUGGGCUCCUUCCCAGAAUUAGAAUUUCCAGGGGCGAGGCUUGGGAAUCGGAUAUUUAGCAAGCAUUCC